CGAACGACGCUGGCGGCGUGUCUUAAGCAUGCAAGUCGAGCGGCAAGGAAGUGCUUGCACUUCCCUAGAGCGGCGGACUGGUGAGUAACGCGUGGGUGAUCUACCUCGGGGGUUGGGGAUAGCCAUUAGAAAUAGUGGGUAAUACCGAAUACGCUUCCAGGGCUACGGCCGUGGAAGGAAAGGCGCUACGGCGCCGACCUGAGAUGAGCCCGCGUCCCAUUAGCUAGUUGGUGAGGUAACGGCCCACCAAGGCGAUGAUGGGUAGGCGGCCUGAGAGGGUGUACGCCCACAUUGGGACUGAGAUACGGCCCAAACUCCUACGGGAGGCAGCAGCUAAGAAUAUUCCGCAAUGGACGAAAGUCUGACGGAGCGACGCCGCGUGGAUGAUGAAGGCCGGAAGGUUGUAAAAUCCUUUUGUCGGGGAAGAAUAAGCGUGGGAGGGAAUGCCCGCGUGAUGACAUGAACCGGCGAAUAAGCCCCGGCUAACUACGUG
rnacentral:rRNA from 1 species